UACAGAGGCCUCGAGCGUUAGGCGGAAUCACUGGGCUUAAAGCGUGUGUAGGCGGAUGCCUAAGUACCUUGUGAAAUCCCACGGCUCACCCGUGGGACGGCUGGGUAUACUGGGUGUCUUGAGCCACUUAGGGGCUGCCGGAACAAAUGGUGGAGCGGUGAAAUGCGUAGAUAUCAUUUGGAACGCCAAUGGUGAAAACAGGCAGCUGGGAGUGUGCUGACGCCGAGACACGAAAGCCAGGGGAGCGAACGGG
rnacentral:rRNA from 1 species